rnacentral:rRNA from 1 species
AGCAUAUCAAUAAGCGGAGGAAAAGAAACCAACAGGGAUUGCCCCAGUAACGGCGAGUGAAGCGGCAACAGCUCAAAUUUGAAAUCUGGCCCUUUGGGUCCGAAUUGUAAUUUGCAGAGGAUGCUUUUGGCGCGGCGCCUUCCGAGUUUCCUGGAACGGAACGCCAUAGAGGGUGAGAGCCCCGUCCGGUUGGACGCCUAGCCUAUGUAAAGCUCCUUCGACGAGUCGAGUAGUUUGGGAAUGCUGCUCUAAAUGGGAGGUACAUGUCUUCUAAAGCUAAAUACCGGCCAGAGACCGAUAGCGCACAAGUAGAGUGAUCGAAAGAUGAAAAGCACUUUGAAAAGAGGGUUAAACAGUACGUGAAAUUGUUGAAAGGGAAGCGUUUAUGACCAGACUUGGGCCCGGUUAAUCAUCCAGCGUUCUCGCUGGUGCACUUUGCCGGCCCAGGCCAGCAUCAGUUCGUCGCGGGGGAUAAAGGCUUCGGGAACGUGGCUCCCUCGGGAGUGUUAUAGCCCGUUGCGCAAUACCCUGCGGUGGACUGAGGUUCGCGCAUCUGCAAGGAUGCUGGCGUAAUGGUCAUCAACGACCCGUCUUGAAACACGGACCAAGGAGUCGUCUUCGUAUGCGAGUGUUCGGGUGUCAAACCCCUACGCGUAAUGAAAGUGAACGCAGGUGAGAGCUUCGGCGCAUCAUCGACCGAUCCUGAUGUUCUCGGAUGGAUUUGAGUAAGAGCAUACGGGGCCGGACCCGAAAGAAGGUGAACUAUGCCUGUAUAGGGUGAAGCCAGAGGAAACUCUGGUGGAGGCUCGCAGCGGUUCUGACGUGCAAAUCGAUCGUCAAAUAUGGGCAUGGGGGCGAAAGACUAAUCGAACCUUCUAGUAGCUGGUUUCCGCC